AGGUCCACUGCGGCAGGCCCGGGCCUCGCUGACCGUAGCCGGUCGAGCUGUACGUCGCUGUACACCUGGUUCUGCUUUCUCCUCCAGACGUGGGGCAGCUCGCCCGAGGCGAGGCAAGUGGAGAUGACCCAGGACAGAUAUUGGGACUGUAGGUGGAACAUGGAUACUGAGGCAUGAAGAGCAGAGGAAUAUCACCUGAGGCCUCCAUUUCUUGACGCAUGGACCUCUCCACAGCCUGCUUGAGUGGCCUCAUUUCAUGGCAUCUGGCUUCCUGCAGAAGGAAAGAUUCAAGAGGGAGAGAAGUGUGAGCAGUGGAGCCUGAGAAUAGCUGGGACCCAGGAUGAAAUGAGCUAUGGCAGCGUUCUGGCCUCCUGUACAGCUGUGUUCUCUGUUACCACUUGGGAUAUCUCUUUCUGGCCGUGACAGGAGGGAGGGGAUGCCCUGAGCUGAGUGGAGUGGGGGUCCUCACCUGGAACCCUUGGCCUCCUGCUGCAGCUCACUGGCCUUCAUCUUCACA